rnacentral:lncRNA from 1 species
AUGACCAGGGUGACCAUCACGCAGAACCUUCAGCUCGAGGGCUGCUCUUGCCUCCAAAGUCCCCAGUCCAUGCUGGAUUCUCCCUUUGAAAAAAAAAAUGUGUCGAGAAGAAAGAGGUGGGGAGGCACUCAGAUGCUGAGAAGUCUGUGUUGGGAGUCAGCCCCGUGGGCUGGAGCAGGCCCGGCCACCUUUGAAUCUCCGCAGCAGUGGCAACAGCAGCAGUACACAGUAACUGACACAUUUCUGGAAAAAUCAUUUGCCCAAAGGGCAGGUCUCGGUGAGCCGGAGCCUCACGUGUGCUCAGCUUCCUUGAAAUCAGCUCCAUUUCUGUGGUCUGGCUGCUUACAACAAAGACCCAAGUUAUUUUUAGAACUUCAGCUCCUGAAAAAAGCCCUCCAGAGGCCUGGAGGCUCCAGCCACUUGGGCCACCUCUGCCCGGCUGCGACCUUCUCGCCAGGAUUUGGCAAGAGCCCUCCUUCCUGGCUAAUUGCUCUUGGCCAGUGGACCCGGGGCAGCCUGGCGGGGAGCCAAGCUGUGUGGAUCUCUCCCCGGGUCCUUUGCAGGGUGACCUGUGGCCAGAGGCGGAGGUCAGUCCCCUGCAGGGGCCCGCGGCCUUGGAGGGAGUUCCACGGGUACAUAAUGAUCUCGUUUAAAGAGAUCGUAUGCAUAGAUUAUAUUAAUACCAAUGCAGGCUCCGCUUUCUCUGGAAAGCAAUUUCAGAGCCACUUCAUUCUCCACCUGCAUUUGGCUAACGGCCUGAUUAUAGCCACACUAAUAACCUUCCAACACUCUCAGGAGCUGUGUGGGCUCUGAAAGGUGCCGCCCCCUGCCUCCUUGCCCUAUUUCCUGCUUCUCUGGGAUGGCAGUGACAACAGCUGUUUAUUCCUCCCGGGGCCCGAGUUACUUGGAGGGGAGGCAGAUGGCUGUGGGCUCAUUCCUGAAGUGCACUUCUGGGGACCAUCAGCCCCGGCUCCCCGGCUGACAGCCCACACAGGGUUUUACAGGUCAGAGCCUGAGUGAUUCCCAUGAAUAUGGAUGCCGAGGGUGAGGCUGAUUGCCUCUGUCCUGCAGGGCAAAGCUGUC